rnacentral:rRNA from 1 species
AUACCACAUGAAAAAAAAAAAACACCAGUUCUCAUCUACCGAAGUUGGGCAAUGUCGAGCCUUGUUCAGUACUUGGGAGGGUGACCACUUGAGAACGCUGGUUGCUGUAGACU